rnacentral:rRNA from 1 species
AUACGUAGGUGGCGAGCGUUGUCCGGAAUUACUGGGUGUAAAGGGAGCGCAGGCGGGAAUGCAAGGUGGAUGUGAAAUACCGAGGCUUCACCUCGGGGCUGCAUCCCAAACUGUAUUUCUUGAGUGCAGUAGAGGUAGGAGGAAUUCCGAGAGUAGCGGUGGAAUGCGUAGAUAUUCGGAGGAACAACAGUGGCGAAGGGGGGCUACGGGGGUUUAAAUGAAGGUGAGGCUCGAAAGUGUUGGGAGCGAACAGGAUUAGAUACCCUGGUAGUCCCCACUGUAAACGAUGAUUUAUAGGUGUGGGGGGUCUGACCCCUUCUGUGCCGUAGUUAACGCAAUAAGUAAUCCACCUGGGGAGUACGAUCGCAAGGUUGAAACUCAAAGGAAUUGACGG